rnacentral:rRNA from 1 species
AUUGAACGCUGGCGGCAGGCCUAACACAUGCAAGUCGAACGAGUGGCGGACGGGUGAGUAAUGUCUGGGAAACUGCCUGAUGGAGGGGGAUAACUACUGUAAACGGUCGCUAAUACCGCCUACCCUCCGAUGUGCCCCGAUGGGAUUAGCUUGUUGGUGGGGUAAAGGCUCACCAAGGCGACGAUCCCUAGCUGGUCUGAGAGGAUGACCAGCCAAACUGGAACUGAGACACGGGCCAGACUCCUACGGGAGGCAGCAGUGGGGAAUAUUGCACAAUGGGAGCAAGCCUGAUGCAGCCAUGCCGCGUGUAUGAAGAAGGCCUUCGGGUUGUAAAGUACUGUCAGCGGGGAGGCGUUACCCGCAGAAGAAGAACCGGCUAACUCCGUGCCAGCAGCCGCGGUAAUUC